AAAAAAAGUGAAAAACAAUGCGACAGUAGUCAUUUAAAGAACUACUGUAGUUUUCGGUGCGAGAUAUUCUGCGCGUCAAAUAUGUUGCGCAAUACGCAUCCUCAAAACGUAGUGUUCCCGUAAUACGUUAUUUCCAGACAUUUAAUUGUU
ensembl:ncRNA R186.10 ncRNA